rnacentral:rRNA from 1 species
CAGAGUGACAGCUACUGAAUCUUUUUUAAGAUAAGGUAAAGGAAAAUAAUGAUACUACUUUACUAUUAGUGUCGUCCAAUACUGGUGCCAGAAGACUCGGUAACGCCAGAGACGCAAACGUUAGUCAUCUUAAACAGGCGUAAAGGGUUUGUAGGCUGCUUCCAAUAUUUUGACAAUUUGAAAUAGCUCAUGUUACUGAUGAUGUAAAGUGCAUAUGAAUUUAAAAAUAAAGUGAAGAUAGAAUCAAAAAGAGGUUAAUAUAAUACUUAGAGUAGUGUUUCAAUCCGUAAAUACUAAGUAGAAUACUAGGAGCGAAGGCUGUUAACCAUUAAUGAUUGACGCUGAGGAACGAAGGUUAGGAUAGGAAAUAGGAUUAGAGACCCAUGAACCCCUCACUGUAAACGAUGAAUGGUAGUUAUCAGAAUAAUAACUGGUUUCGAGGUUAACGCGUUGACCAUUCCGCCUUGUGAGUACGAUUGCAAAAUUGAAAACAAAAAAAUUAGUCGGUCUCGAAGCAAACGAAGUGAAGCAUGUUAUUUCAAAAAAACCCCCCCAAAAAAA